rnacentral:rRNA from 1 species
GAUGAACGCUAGCUAUAGGCUUAACACAUGCAAGUCGAGGGGAAACGGCAGAGAGUGCUUGCACMCUUUGGACGUCGACCGGCGCACGGGUGAGUAACGCGUAUCCAACCUGCCCUUUACUUGGGGAUAACCCGUUGAAAGACGGACUAAUACCCAAUGAUAUUCAUUGAUGACAUCUGAUUUGAAUUAAAGAUUUAUCGGUAUAGGAUGGGGAUGCGUCUGAUUAGCUUGUUGGUGAGGUAACGGCUCACCAAGGCMACGAUCAGUAGGGGUUCUGAGAGGAAGGUCCCCCACAUUGGAACUGAGACACGGUCCAAACUCCUACGGGAGGCAGCAGUGAGGAAUAUUGGUCAAUGGACGAGAGUCUGAACCAGCCAAGUAGCGUGCAGGAUGACGGCCCUAUGGGUUGUAAACUGCUUUUGUUUGGGAAUAAUCGACAUUACGUGUAAUGUUUUGCAUGUACCAUUCGAAUAAGGACCGGCUAAUUCCGUGCCAGCAGCCGCGGUAAUACGGAAGGUCCAGGCGUUAUCCGGAUUUAUUGGGUUUAAAGGGAGUGUAGGCGGUUGGUUAAGCGUGUUGUGAAAUGUAGAUGCUCAACAUCUGACUUGCAGCGCGAACUGGCUGACUUGAGUACACACAACGUAGGCGGAAUUCAUGGUGUAGCGGUGAAAUGCUUAGAUAUCAUGAAGAACUCCGAUUGCGAAGGCAGCUUACGGGAGUGUUACUGACGCUUAAGCUCGAAGGUGCGGGUAUCGAACAGGAUUAGAUACCCUGGUAGUCCGCACAGUAAACGAUGGAUGCCCGCUGUUAGCACCUGGUGUUAGCGGCUAAGCGAAAGCAUUAAGCAUCCCACCUGGGGAGUACGCCGGCAACGGUGAAACUCAAAGGAAUUGACGGGGGCCCGCACAAGCGGAGGAACAUGUGGUUUAAUUCGAUGAUACGCGAGGAACCUUACCCGGGCUUGAAUUGUAGGAGCACGAUACAGAGAUGUUGAGGUCCUUCGGGACUCCUAUGAAGGUGCUGCAUGGUUGUCGUCAGCUCGUGCCGUGAGGUGUCGGCUUAAGUGCCAUAACGAGCGCAACCCCUUUCCUUAGUUGCCAUCAGGUAAUGCUGGGCACUCUGAGGAUACUGCCACCGUAAGGUGUGAGGAAGGUGGGGAUGACGUCAAAUCAGCACGGCCCUUACGUCCGGGGCUACACACGUGUUACAAUGGCCGGUACAGAAUGUUGGUUUCAUGUAAAUGUAAUCUAAUCUUUAAAGCCGGUCCCAGUUCGGACUGAGGUCUGCAACCCGACCUCACG